UACGAAGGGGGCUAGCGUUGCUCGGAAUUACUGGGCGUAAAGCGUGUGUAGGUGGCUGCGUAAGUCGGAUGUGAAAGCCCUGGGCUCAACUCAGGAAGUGCACUCGAUACUGCGUAGCUCGAGUACCGGAGAGGUUGGUAGAAUUCUCGGUGUAGAGGUGAAAUUCGUAGAUAUCGAGAGGAAUACCUGUGGCGAAGGCGGCCAACUGGACGAGUACUGACACUGAGACACGAAAGCGUGGGGAGCAAACAGG
rnacentral:rRNA from 1 species